rnacentral:rRNA from 1 species
UACAGAGGUCUCAAGCGUUGUUCGGAUUCAUUGGGCGUAAAGGGUGCGUAGGCGGCGCGGUAAGUCGGGUGUGAAAUCUUGGAGCUUAACUCCGAAACUGCAUUCGAUACUGCCGUGCUUGAGGGCUGGAGAGGAGACUGGAAUUUACGGUGUAGCGGUGAAAUGCGUAGAUAUCGUAAGGAGGACCAGUGGCGAAGGCGGGUCUCUGGACAGUUCCUGACGCUGAGGCACGAAGGCCAGGGGAGCAAACGGG